rnacentral:lncRNA from 1 species
CCCUGCGUAAACGAAUACUUUUCUUUGUAGGAGUUAUCUCCCCAAACACUGUUUUCCUUGUUAGCGCAUCUCCUUCGCAACCGUUAAAGAUUAUGACUAAUUUAUUUUACAAAAUUGCUCGUUAUAUCCUUGGCAUGAUUUGUCCUGUUUUGACCGAAGCGAUAUGACCGCUCCAUAUGAGAGUUAUUUCCCCUUAUGCAUCUGAUAUAAGUGAUAUGAAUUUCUAUCUUAUAAAUCAUAAGUGAUAGAGACCUAGGAUCUUUUGAUUUGAGGUCCUUGGUCCCAAAAAAUAAAAAUUAGGUCAAGGUCAAAGGUCAAGGUCAUAUUCUAAUAUUUGAAUUUGGCUUAUUUUCACUUAUAUCCAAAGACUGUAUAAGAUAUCAACAAAUUAUUUUUACUAAAUUGUUAGUUGCGACAUGUCGUAAGAUGUAAAUUUUGAUUGCAAGCGUACA